GAAUGCAGGAAGAAGAAAAGAGAGAGGGAGGAGUCAUGCCCUGUUGUUGCCGCCGCAACGCCACUGCGCCGUCGCCACCAUUCCAUGGAGCCGAGCCCGUGUCGCCGUCUCAAAUGAAGAGGAUGCCGCCAGCUCUGUCGCGACUGGUUGCUACCGAGCUCGCCGUCGGAGACCGCGUUGCUUCACCGCUGCUGCAUCGCCGUUGAUGAAGCUUCUGCCGCCAUUGUGAACCGCAAACAGAGGAGAGGAAAAGAGAUGAGUUCACGAGCGAGAAGAGGAAGCGGCGCUGCCUUUCCAUCGCCGCUGCUACCAAGGUCUGUGGAGGAGAGCAUCGUUGUGGGUGGCAUCCACCGUCCGAGCUGCCAGUAGAAGGAUCCACCGCCGCUGAACCCUAGCUAUCACUGCCGUUGGAGUCACCGUGGUUGCCGCUGGCGAAGUGUUUCUGAACGCCGCUGCUACUGAACCACCUUAGUCACUACUUCGGUCCCAUUCAACCACCACAGCCUCCUCUGUUCUUGUCUUCGUAUCAACACUGCCCUUUUCCAGUUUCAAUCCCAAUUCUGCUAUUUCUGAAUAUUUCUGCCAAGGUAUGUUUGAAAAAUUAAAAUUGGUGAUGCUGCCACCGUUUCGGUCACGUUGGAAUCACCGCUGCUGCCAUGAAACAAAAAGGAAAGGGAGUUACCAUGUUUAACCUAUGUGAAUUCAGCUUGUCGAGGUGGGAGGGUGCCUCAUUUAACUAAUUCUGAAAAAGAAAGGCGAAAAAGGUGGCAUCAAUUUAGGGGUAGUGAAGGAAACUGGUGGGGUAUUGCUCACUCCAGUGCCCGACCUCAUCCUUCUCAAAAAAGGAAAAGAGUUGAGCCCGAGAAGUCACUAGAGGUGCUUUCCGAAGAGGACAAGGUCGAUAGGUUAGUGUUAGAAAAGUAGAAAAAACUUCAUGGAUUUAUAGAAGAGGUGAAUUCUCAAUCCCUUUGGAGUGAUCAAUAUCCCAUUUCUGAGCUUGAUGAUAGGGUUUUCCAGUAUCCCAGGGAUAUGAGGUUGACUCGCCUUUUGGGUAUGGAAGGGAUGGGAAGUUUAUCCAGAUUGUGGCUUCUCCUUUGUUGUGUAUUGGUCAUGCUACUGAGCUGCUAGGUGCAGAACAGCAUGAUGUUACUGAAAGGGUUGUGAAUUUGGAGUGGUCUGUGAAAGAAAAGGAGAAUGUGAUCAUCGAUGUGACCUCUAAGAUAAAGGAUAGGGAGGAGGAGGUUGCUAAGCUUCAAGAUCAGAUCUGUCUUCUGCAAAAUGAAAUUAAGGAAAAUGACAAGGUCAAGGGUAAGAUGACCUCCUAUAUUCACGAGUUAGAAAAUGAGGUUUUGGAGAUGUUUGCUGCCAAUUUCGACCGAGCUGUGAGCUAGGUAGAUGUAUUUACGCCCGAGUUCGAUGUUGGGAGACUUGAUGUGAUGAAGAUUGUAAUGGAUGGCGAGCUUGUUGAAGAUGAGGCGGGUGAGGAGCAUGAUGAGAAUGUUCCUCCCCCCUCUCAUAAAGAUUAAUAAGUUUGUGAAUACUUUUGAUAAUUUGUAUUUUGAAACUUUGAUUUGAUGACCGAUCUAGCGUCGGUGUGUUUGUUUGAACUAAUUUCUGACAUAUGAUGUUGGGUUAAACUUGAAAUAUUUGAAAGCUUAUUAUUGUAUGUUGCUUAGAUGUUGUAUCCAACUUUUCGAUUUGCGUUGGUUUGGAUGAAAUGAUUUAGUAGAUAGAACAGUGUAGUGAAUAGAAAGGAAAGAAUAUGUUUCAUUCGGGAUAUGGAAAAAACCUUCAGUUUGAAUGGCGUGGAGUAGUUGGCCUCGUUAAAAACUGUCAAAGUA